rnacentral:snRNA from 1 species
AGCUUAGGGCAGUGGCAGUAUCGUAGCCAAUGAGGUUUAUCCGAGGCUCGAUUAUUGCUAAUUGAAAAAAAAAAAAAAAUGUCUCCCUAGCAAUUGGAUCAUUUAGUGAAAU